rnacentral:rRNA from 1 species
ACGGAAGGCAGCAGUGGGGGAUAUUGCACAAUGGAGGAAACUCUGAUGCAGCAACGCCGCGUGAAGGAAGAAGGCCUUCGGGUUGUAAACUUCUGUCCUUGGUGACGAUAAUGACGGUAGCCAAGGAGGAAGCCACGGCUAACUACGUGCCAGCAGCCGCGGUAAUACGUAGGUGGCAAGCGUUGUCCGGAAUUACUGGGUGUAAAGGGUGCGUAGGCGGCUCAUAAAGUCAGAUGUGAAAUACCGAGGCUUAACCUCGGAGCUGCAUUUGAAACUUAUGAGCUUGAGUGAAGUAGAGGUAAGCGGAAUUCCUAGUGUAGCGGUGAAAUGCGUAGAUAUUAGGAGGAACACCAGUGGCGAAGGCGGCUUACUGGGCUUUAACUGACGCUGAGGCACGAAAGCAUGGGUAGCAAACAGGAUUAGAUACCCUGGUA